GCCUGCCCCUUUGUGAUGUCAGGCUGGGGGGGCAGGGGGAGGUUGUCUCCUGCUCUGCUGGCUGAGGAUGAAGGAAGGAGCUGGGAAGCAGAGUGAGGAUAUCGUCGUGGUCCUGGCGUGGAGCUGAGAAUCCCGAGCACGUCGCGCUGGACCUCGUCACGGCUGGAGCCCGGCGCAGUGAUACAGCCACCAUGGAAGGGGAGCUGGUCGUAGAAGAUAUCGAAGAGUUGGACAUAGAAAAGGACAAACGCACGGAGAUGACGUCAACUGACAGCCAUGACGACGGCAUUGGGGUGCUGAUGCUAAACCUCAGCGGAGAGGAGGAGGAGGAGGCCUCACCCGAAGCAGGCCACCCC